rnacentral:lncRNA from 1 species
ACAGUUCUGGAGACCAGAAGUCCAAAAUGAAGAUGUUGGCUGGGCUGUGCUCCCUUUGAAGGGUCUAGAGGAGAAACCACUCCUUGCCUCUUCCAGCUUCUGGUGGCUGCCAGCCUUCCCGACUGCAUCACCCCAGUCUCUGCCUGUGUCUUCACAUCACCAUCUCCUCUUUGCAGGAAUCUAUGAUGGUUGCCACUUCCUACUCACCACAGCCAAUCAGCAUGAUGCUAACCAUGUAGUGGAACGAAGUGAUGUCUUCUGGCAUGAUGAGACAGACAAGGUUCCUGUGGACUAGAUUAUUACAGAAAACUGGAUAGCUGAGGUCCCAUCCUUUCAUGAUCAAUGCCACAAAUUUCACACAGGAAACCACUGAGGCUGUGAAAUCAAGUUGUAAUUCUGCAAUCCAAAGGAGCAAACUUUAAAUCUUGUUUUAAGGCAUUUUAAGUCUGCAGCUAAGAUAUAUAAAAGGGUCUCUUGGGCAGGGGGUCAGGGCGGGUCAUAGAAGCUGUCUGCAACUUUUUCCUUGCCCUAAGCCAAGAAUUUAAAAUAAGAGCAAACACUAUUUCUGUAAGCUCUUCAGUGCUAUAGGAAGCAAUCCUUCCACUCAAGUUUUCUCUGUUUCUUAUUUGCACCACAAUAGUGCAAUGCAGCAGCCAGUCUGUCAAAGGCUUGUCUUCAAUAGCUAUUCCAUCCUAUGUGGCCAUAGGUGAUCAUUUAGCUAUUUGCUUCACGGAAAACAGUAUCCCAUUUCCCAGUGGUCAUGAAGUUAUCACUGCCUAUAAACUCAACUAAGUCAGAUAACCAAUGUCAUAUUGUAUUUAAAAGUCAAUUUCUUGAUCAAAUUUUGGUACUGAAUACUGAGCUAGGUAAGGUUCAUCACAUAUAAUAGAUACCACUCAAGGUAUUCAAGCAGAAAAUCUUUAAUUCAAAAGAGUAGAUGUUUAUAAAAUUAUUGGUAACUUGGAGGAAUAAAAGUCAGGAGGCUAUCCUUAAUCUUUAGCUUCAAAUUCAUACAACCACAUCUGUCAUAAGUGCCAUCACCAUUAGCACUGUCUGUAUUCAUAAAAUUGAUGCCAAGAUAGUGGAACAUGUUAUCCAACUGUUUCCAACACUUUUGUCUGUAGGAGCCCACUUACAUAAUUGUGCUACUACAGAAAGGUGACACCCACCUCCUUCAGCCUUUGUAAAAUUUCACGAGUGCCUCACAUUGACAAAACCUAAACUUACGAGGGGAUCACAUGGGAAUCUGAGAAAUGUAAUUUUUAGUUCCCCAAACUCUGUAAUACUGAAGGAGGGGAGAAUGAGAACACAUCAAAGGGAAAGGAAUGGAUUCGUAGUGCCCAUAAACAGCUACUACACUAACCUAAAGAUGACGCCUGAUUUCUGAAGUAGUUAAUAUUUGGGGUAGACUUCAGGAUGUAAGCUCCAAAUCUCAACUUUUAACGAUAAAUUAGAAAUUUGUUACCCAAAUUCAUCUGGCUGCUCUUUUUCCUCAUGAGUUCCCAUAUUACUUUUAUUUCUGGAGGAAAGAUUAGGUACCACUUUACAAGGGCUGGCAGUAAUAAUUCAAGCAUAACAAAAACAAAUGUUGAAUAAAUAUAGCUUUGAAAAGCAGCUUUUCUUUUGCGAUUAUGUCUUUAUGACAUUUUUACUGAGAUCUGAAAUCACAAUAUAUUGGAAACCUAACUGUAUCAUGUACAACUGACAAACCCUAACUAUAUAAUAUGCUUAUAAAAAUUGUAAAUGUAUUUGAUCCCCAGAUUUAUUAAUUAGAACACAAGCCACACUCUCAGGUGAGGUGUGACUGUUGCUAACAUAAUGCUAUCUAUCGUAUAAGACUCAUAAUCUACCCACCCUCUAAUUACCAAAUAGCAAGCUAAUCAUUAUUCUUGCAAGACUGGUUCCUAGGACAGCUUCCUCACAGGGAGGAGAAACUCAGUUGAAAUAUAAUGCAUCAUGAAUGACAAAGAAGGGAUUUCAACUGGAUGCUCUCUUUUUUCUCCCAUGGCAAAUUCAAUGAAAAUAAAAUUUAACUGAGAAAAGGGGCAAUCUGACUGGCUUCUAUAAAAUUGUAGAAAAGGGAUUCAGGAAUACCUAAAGACUGACAGAGUACAUGGAAUAUGUACAUGGACUGAUGAAAUAUUCUUUAUAACAAUCUUGUAUUAAAUUGAGAAAUAAUAAUUUCAAGAUCCUAUGUUUUUAGAAAUAGCCAUAUUAUUUAAACCUUUCAAGAUUUUUUGUAUUUAGGAUGGCUUUUAAUUUGGACAUAUUCUGUAUAGAUGUUCAAAAGCAAUGUGACCUUCUGAUAGCUGCAUUAUAAUUAGAUAUUAAGUGAUGUGUUUCAGCGUGCACUUUUUCUCUCUCAAAGGAGAUACUACUUUAUUAACACAUUCCCUGGGAUAACCUCAUGUAUGAGAAUGGAAAAAAAAAAAAAUCAAAAUCUAAGUUGAGUUUCUAUUUAAGACCAGAUGGGUCUCCAAGGAAGAAAUGAACAAAAAUUUGCUCAUGUGUAUUGAUGUGUAAACAUGCUUUGUGUGGUAAAUUGAAAAAGACAAGAAAAAAAAGGAAAAGGAAAAAAACAACACCCUAAUUAAAAGAAAAAGAUAGAAGAAAGUUUAAUUUCUCAAAGGAAACAGCAAAACCGACAUUUCUAAGUCUGAAAGAACACCAAGGGGUGACUGACUCAUAGCAUUCCCAUUGAUCAUCUAAAGACAGCUCUGGAUCCCCUUCUGGCUAAGUCACAAGGCUCUUCCAGUGAUACAUUCUAAAAUCUUACAAUCUUCAUGUGGCAGUGGUUCUAUAUAUCAAUUAUUUUAAAUUUAGGUUUUUUAAUCUCCUCCAGGAUUCACAGCCUCCUAUGAAAACAAAUUCAAAAGGAUCUUUGCCUUUCAAUUCACAGCUGUGCCUUCCCCUCUGUAAUUUAUAGGAAAACUAACUUCUAACACUUACAUGAUUUGUAGUAUUUUGAAACAAAAAUAUUAGGUUGGUGCAAAAAUACAACAAAAAAGGAAUCCAUUUCUACUUCUCUUCCUUUUCACAAAUAUUCUUGUCAUUCAGAAGUUAUCUGCCUAAAAUACAAAAGACUAAGCAUGGAUUCUAAAUUACACCACUAAUAAGGACUUGCUAAGGUCACUUGCCAAAAUUACUUGCACGCUGAGUGGCAGGUGACCAAUUUCCUUCAGCAGGUUUUAUGAUUACUGCUCAGAUGUUGUGUGUUGUGUGCCUGUGUACAGAGCUCAGUAUCAGUCUCUCACCUCUGCUGCCCUAUUUACCAUCUGGCAGGAUGCUGAAAUCUGCCACCCAGGUCCAUGCUGAGCAGGCCAGCCAGCACACAUCCUGGUUAGCUGUAGCUGUUUUUUUCUUAGUAAGCACGGUGUUAUGAGUACAGCUGGCUGAGAUUAUGGCUAUAACAAGGAAAGAACUGGGAGAGUGUGAACUCUUCAGUGUGGUGUCUCAUUCUGAAGGUGAGAGAGAUUCAAAAGUUCUGCUCCAAUAGUCAAUAUAUAGUAUCUGACUUGUAUUGUCAAAUAGAUAAUACAACAAAAAUCACUUAUACCUCUAUGUUCUCUUUCCCAUUUACAGGGUAGCUGAGUUGCAUAUAUGAAACAAGCCUGUAAAUUAAAAUAUUCCUAAUAAACUAAAAGCACUGCUAGAUUCCAUGUUCUAAAGUACAAACAUAAUAAUCCAUGUUAAAAUAUUUUUGAAUACCUUGAGAGCAUGCACAACAAGAGAAAGAGAAUGAAUUAAUAAUGUUAAAACUAAAACUAGUCAUUUGUUAGUUUCCAUCAGCAAAACAGUCAAAAGUAACAGACUUGGGAGGCCAAGGCAGGAGGAUUGCUUAAGGUGAGGAGUUCAAGACCAGCCUGGGCAACAUAGUGAAAUCUCAUUUCUACCAAAAAAUGAAGAAGUAACAAAGGAAAGAGAAA